rfam:Cavia porcellus supercont2_232 genomic scaffold, whole genome shotgun sequence.
GGGGAUUUAGCUCAGCGGCAUAAGCGCCUGCCUUGCAAGCAGGCAGUCAAUCAUGAGUUUGAUCCCCG